AAACCAGCACCUCAAGUGGUCAGGAUGAUUAUUGGGCCUAAAGCAUCCGUAGCCUGCUCUGUAAGUUUUCGGUUAAAUCUGUACGCUCAACGUACAGGCUGCCGGAAAUACUGCAGAACUAGGGAGUGGGAGAGGUAGACGGUACUCGGGAGGAAGUGGUAAAAUGCUUUGAUCGCCCGAUGACCACCUGUGGCGAAGGCGGUCUACCAGAACACGUCCGACGGUGAGGGAUGAAAGCUGGGGGAGCAAACCGGAUUAGAAACCCUAGUAGUCC
rnacentral:rRNA from 1 species